rnacentral:rRNA from 1 species
GCCCUUGGGGAAUUUUCCGCAAUGGGCGAAAGCCUAGACGGAGCAAUACCGCGUGAGGGAAAAAGGCCUUCGGGUUGUAAACCUCUUUUAUCAAGGAGGAAAUUUUGACGUGUACUUGAUGAAUAAGCAUCGGCUAACUCCGUGCCAGCAGCCGCGGUAAGACGGAGGAUGCGAGUGUUAUCCGGAAUUAUUGGGCGUAAAGCGUCCGCAGGUGGCGAUUCAAGUCUGCUGUCAAAGCACGGGGCUUAACUCCGUUAAGGCAGUGGAAACUGAAUAGCUAGAGUGCCGUAGGGGUAGAGGGAAUUCCCGGUGUAGCGGUGAAAUGCGUAGAGAUCGGGAAGAACAUCGGUGGCGAAAGCGCUCUACUGGACGGCAACUGACACUCAGGGACGAAAGCUAGGGGAGCGAAUGGGAUUAGAUACCCCAGUAGUC